rnacentral:rRNA from 1 species
AUUGAACGCUGGCGGCAUGCUUUACACAUGCAAGUCGAACGGUAACAGGCCGCAAGGUGCUGACGAGUGGCGAACGGGUGAGUAAUGCAUCGGAACGUGCCCAGUCGUGGGGGAUAACUACUCGAAAGAGUAGCUAAUACCGCAUACGAUCUAUUGAUGAAAGCGGGGGACCGUAAGACCUCGCGCGAUUGGAGCGGCCGAUGUCAGAUUAGGUAGUUGGUGGGGUAAAGGCUCACCAAGCCAACGAUCUGUAGCUGGUCUGAGAGGACGACCAGCCACACUGGGACUGAGACACGGCCCAGAAUCCUACGGGAGGCAGCAGUGGGGAAUUUUGGACAAUGGGCGCAAGCCUGAUCCAGCAAUGCCGCGUGCAGGAAGAAGGCCUUCGGGUUGUAAACUGCUUUUGUACGGAACGAAACGGCUCUGGUUAAUACCCGGGGCUAAUGACGGUACCGUAAGAAUAAGCACCGGCUAACUACGU